rnacentral:rRNA from 1 species
ACCCAAUAGAUACCCCGGUAGUCCACGCCAUAGACGAUGAGGACUAGACGUUGGAGGGGUAAGCCUUUCAGUGUCGUAGCUAAACGCGCUAAGUCCUCCGCCUGGGGAGGUACGGCCGCAAGGUUAGAAACUACAAAGGAAUUGACGGGGACCCGGCACAAGCGGUGGAGCAUGUGGUUUAAUUCGAUGCAACGCGAAGAACCUUACCUGGUCUUGACAUCCAUGGAACCCUGCAGAGAUGCGGGGGUGCCGUAAGGAACCAUGAGACAGGUGCUGCAUGGCUGUCGUCAGCUCGUGUCGUGAGAUGUUGGGUUAAGUCCCGCAACGAGCGCAACCCUUGUCCUUAGUUGCCAUCAUUCAGUUGGGAACUCUAAGGAGACCGCCGGUGACAAACCGGAGGAGGUGGGGAUGACGCCAAGUCAUCAUGGCCUUUAUGACCAGGGCUACACACGUGCUACAAUGGUAGGUACAGAGGGAAGCCAACGCGCGAGCGGGAGCUAAUCCCAGAAAACCUAUCGUAGUCCGGAUUGGAGUCUGC